GCACUGGUAGCUUAGUGGUUAAGAGCUAUGGCUGCUAACCAAAGGUUCGCAGUUCAAAUCCACCAGGUGCU
rnacentral:tRNA from 1 species